rnacentral:rRNA from 1 species
AGCGAACGCUGUCGGCAGGCUUAACACAUGCAAGUCGAACGCCCCGCAAGGGGAGUGGCAGACGGGUGAGUAACACGUGGGAACGUACCAUUUGGUUCGGAAUAACUUGGGGAAACUCAAGCUAAUACCGGAUAAGCCCUUAUGGGGAAAGGUUUACUGCCGAAGGAUCGGCCCGCGUCUGAUUAGCUAGUUGGUGAGGUAAUGGCGCACCAAGGCGACGAUCAGUAGCUGGUCUGAGAGGAUGAUUCAGCCACACUGGGACUGAGACACGGCCCAGACUCCUACGGGAGGCAGCAGUGGGGAAUAUUGGACAAUGGGGGCAACCCUGAUCCAGCCAUGCCGCGUGAGUGAUGAAGGCCUUAGGGUUGUAAAGCUCUUUUACCCGGGACGAUAAUGACUGUACCGGGAGAAUAAGCCCCGGCUAACUUCGUGCCAGCAGCCGCGGUAA